rnacentral:rRNA from 1 species
UACGUAGGGGGCAAGCGUUGUCCGGAUUUAUUGGGCGUAAAGAGCUCGUAGGCGGUCUGUCGCGUCUGCUGUGAAAACUCGGGGCUUAACCCCGGGCCUGCAGUGGGUACGGGCGGACUAGAGUGCGGUAGGGGAGACUGGAAUUCCUGGUGUAGCGGUGAAAUGCGCAGAUAUCAGGAGGAACACCGGUGGCGAAGGCGGGUCUCUGGGCCGUAACUGACGCUGAGGAGCGAAAGCAUGGGGAGCAACAGG